GACGAACCGUGCGAACGUUGUUCGGAUUCACUGGGCUUAAAGGGUGCGUAGGCGGGUCUUUAAGUCAGGGGUGAAAUCCUGGAGCUCAACUCCAGAACUGCCUUUGAUACUGAAGAUCUUGAGUUCGGGAGAGGUGAGUGGAACUGCGAGUGUAGAGGUGAAAUUCGUAGAUAUUCGCAAGAACACCAGUGGCGAAGGCGGCUCACUGGCCCGAUACUGACGCUGAGGCACGAAAGCGUGGGGAGCAAACAGG
rnacentral:rRNA from 1 species